rnacentral:rRNA from 1 species
CAGCCGCCGCGGUAAUACGUAGGGUGCAAGCGUUAAUCGGAAUUACCGGGCGUAAAGCGUGCGCAGGCGGUUUGUUAAGACAGAUGUGAAAUCCCCGGGCUCAACCUGGGAACUGCAUUUGUGACUGGCAAGCUAGAGUGUGGCAGAGGGGGGUGGAAUUCCGCGUGUAGCAGUGAAAUGCGUAGAUAUGCGGAGGAACACCGAUGGCGAAGGCAGCCCCCUGGGCCAACACUGACGCUCAUGCACGAAAGCGUGGGGAGCAAACAGGAUUAGAUACCCCGGUAGUCCCUGUCUCUUAUAC